GACGAACGCUGGCGGCGUGCUUUACACAUGCAAGUCGAACGAAAACCUUCCUUCGGGAAAGUGGAAAGUGGCAGACGGGUGAGUAACGCGUGGGAACGUGCCUCUCGGUUCGGAAUAACUCAGGGAAACUUGGGCUAAUACCGAAUACGCCCUUCGGGGGAAAGAUUUAUCGCCGAUGGAUCGGCCCGCGUCAGAUUAGCUUGUUGGUGAGGUAAAGGCUCACCAAGGCGACGAUCUGUAGCUGGUCUGAGAGGAUGAUCAGCCACACUGGGACUGAGACACGGCCCAGACUCCUACGGGAGGCAGCAGUGGGGAAUAUUGGACAAUGGGCGCAAGCCUGAUCCAGCCAUGCCGCGUGGGUGAAGAAGGCCCUAGGGUUGUAAAUCCCUUUCAGCGGGGAAGAUAAUGACGGUACCCGCAGAAGAAGCCCCGGCUAACUCCGUG
rnacentral:rRNA from 1 species